CGAGCUGAUUACUCCUCAUCUGCAAGCCUCUCCAUUUCCUGCACGGUGGGUGCCUCAAGAAGCUGGAGUCACCUACGUAUGUCUCGUGAUGCAAGAGGAGGAACCCAUUCAGUUCCCAGCCUCCGAACUUCGUGGGAAUCUUCAAGACAUUUUUGGCUUGGCAAAAUAUCCUCAAGUUCCCAGGAUGAAUCAGGACAGCCUUCUUUCUCCCCAAACUCCUAUUACUUCUGAUCCCACAGUCUGACCAUUUUAGAAGACUAAGGCAGCCAGUUCCCAAUCACCUAUUAAAACUGUUGUCCUGGAGGGUCUCACUUAAAAUAGGUACCUGGACCUCAACAUUAACAGCAAACUUGGCUCAUCCACUUGGUUAAU